rnacentral:rRNA from 1 species
UACGUAGGGGGCAAGCGUUGUCCGGAUUUAUUGGGCGUAAAGAGCGUGUAGGCGGCUAUACAGGUCCGUUGUGAAAACUCGAGGCUCAACCUCGAGACGCCGAUGGAAACCGUAUGGCUAGAGUCCGGAAGAGGAGAGCGGAAUUCCUGGUGUAGCGGUGAAAUGCGCAGAUAUCAGGAAGAACACCCGUGGCGAAGGCGGCUCUCUGGGACGGUACUGACGCUGAGACGCGAAAGCGUGGGUAGCAAACAGG